AUUGAACGCUGGCGGAAUGCUUUACACAUGCAAGUCGAGCGGCAGCGCGGGGGCAACCCUGGCGGCGAGCGGCGAACGGGUGAGUAACAUAUCGGAACGUACCCAGUCGUGGGGGAUAACUAUCCGAAAGGAUAGCUAAUACCGCAUACGUCCUGAGGGAGAAAGCGGGGGAUCGCAAGACCUCGCGCGAUUGGAGCGGCCGAUAUCGGAUUAGCUAGUUGGUGGGGUAAAGGCUCACCAAGGCGACGAUCCGUAGCGGGUCUGAGAGGACGACCCGCCACACUGGAACUGAGACACGGUCCAGACUCCUACGGGAGGCAGCAGUGGGGAAUUUUGGACAAUGGGGGCGAACCCUGAUCCAGCCAUUCCGCGUGAGUGAAGAAGGCCUCGUGU
rnacentral:rRNA from 1 species